AGCUGAAUUUUUUUUCAUUUCUAAUCCCUCUUAACAACGCACUCGAUAAAUUCAUUUAUUGAUGCAACAUUUGCAGAUAUCUCCAUGCGGUGACAUUUUCAAAAAUUGUGUCUGUAAAAAUUUGAUAGUUUAGUCAAUUAAUUUAUUUGUGUUCAACGGAUUUUUUUUUAAUCAAAAAGUCAUUUAAAAUUAACUCCUUUAUUUUUAGUGAGAAAUUUUACGUAAAUGAAAUCAAAGUUAUUUCUGUUAUUUUGUUUAUCCCGAGACACGAAUUGAAUAAUGAUAUUGGAAUUUGUAGAAAAUAGGAAAUGUAUAAUAGGAAUGAAAUGUAGAUUAAAGUGCCUUUUUUCAAUACCACAACAACGAACUAAUUAUCUAUUUUUAAGUAAUUAGAGGUCUCACAUCUAUGGAGCCAUUCAAUUAAAGGUUCAUUGGAAAUAUUGUUGUUAUAAAAAAUUGAAAUAGGAUUAUUGAGUGAAUUUAUCCCUUCAUGCUGAUCACGUCUGGGUAUAGUGGUAAAAGGGCUGGAGCAACUGGUGUCUGACGUUAGGAGGACCAACGUUCACUCACCUGGUGAAUCGUGUGUCUGGGCAUGCACUUGGUGCAGGUCCUGGCAAGUCGGAUGGGCCAAUUUCCCCGAAGCCAAUUCCUUUUUUCCCAUUGAUCAGCUCAUUCUGCGAGUAAUUUGGCCAGAAGCAGGCCUCGGAGAUCCACAUUUUUAUCACCGGAAAUACCUCGCUCGGAUAUGCCGGGUAAAUUUCAUGGAAUUCACGAGGCUCUCGAGAGGACUCCGGGAGACAGACUUCAAAGAAAUUUUCGCGGAGAAAGGGCCGAUGAUGAUACACGCCCCGGAAAUUCCAAUUUUAUUUCAGCGAUGCGAUGACAGAACAUUUUAUUAUCUCACGGAUUCGCAAUGGAUUCACCAGAAUUCUAUGCAGGCACGUGUUUGCGAUGCAUCAUAUCGAGAAUAUGCAUAAUCUUUCAUCAUAUCUUCAGAGAUUCCUCCUACCAAAGUUUCAGGUUUCAAGUGGACGGCCGAAUUCCUGCGCUUCUCGUUUGACUCGAAUUAAAAAAAAUAAAAUAAACCUCUGUCCAACAAAUUGAAAUUCUGAAUAUUCUAAAAAUUGCAAUAACUUCCGUCACACUAAUCAUUACAAUUAAUUACAAUUACACUAUUAUUUCUUAUAUUACAUAAAACCUAAAUGUAAAACCAAUCAAAUCAAUGAAUCUAAUCAGUCGAAACCCAAAAUUUCGUAAAAUUUAUUCCAAGAAAAUUUUUUUUUUGAUAAAUCUCAUUCCAACUUUAAUUUUCCAUUUCGUUUAUUUUGUUGCUUUAGAGAAAAACUAAAAUUGCAGAAUAAAGUGUUUUACCACCGCUGAGAGGAAGGGGCGAGACCCUUCCCUCCCCCUCAAACUUACACUCUUAUAUUUUACCGCAUUAUCUCGUAAUGACGUGUCAAUCAUUACACAUGUUGAUAUCAUCAAUAAUCCUCUUAUCACGAUAUUUUUCAAGUUUCAUUAGUGAAGUUGACGGCCAAAUUCCAGUGCUCCUGUCUCUCAUUAUGAUCGCAAAGCGGAAAAACCGACGAUUAAAUUUUUAUUUGUCGAUCCCCCGAAAUCACAUGCCAAAAGGCGUAAGGUCAGUGCUGAAGGAGCGUCAUCGAAUGGGCGGGUUUUCGGCUCACACACAUUACACCAUACAACUUCAUUCACCGCGUCAUCCCGGUAUAAAUAGAAAAACCGGUAUAUUUUUAGAAAAUAUACCGCAGUGAGAGCGAAUUCCCAAUCUCCAAGGAAUAUCAAUGUCAUUCACCUUUUAAAAUUUCGAUUCAACUGAAUUCCGAGGAUUUUUCAUCCUUUUCAGUAUAAAAUUGUGAGAAUGGAGCAGGAUAACUUUAAUGAAAUAUUUUCGAUCAAUUUCAAAUGGUUCUGUUCAUUGUGAGGCCCGUGCGACUCCUCUCUAGCAGAACCUGGACCUCUAGACCGCAAUUUUAAUGCUCCUUAAGCCUCUGAUCUCUCUGGAUUUAUUAGUCAUCAUGUGCAGAACAAUUAACCGUCGAGGAGACAUGAGGUCACGUGGGACGGAUGCUCCACACCUGGAGACAAAUCUGGAGUAGAGAAAAUUCCCACUACAUUAGAUUUUAAUAAUUGGAAGUCAGAUUAAUGAAGAAAAAAUAAACGAUAUAGGUAAGAGCAGUUUUACUUCAGAUGAUUAUAUGUUCACACUUCGAGAACAGUCGACGAACUGACAAACGAUCUUAAAAAUCUUAAAAACCAAAGCAUCGUCAUCAUGGUUUCUUUCUUUCAAUGAACAAAGAUUUCUUUAUAUUAUUUUAUGAACAUAAACUGGAGUUUUCUGCGUAAGACCACGCAGACGGUCUCUCCAGGACACAAUGACCUCAUAGUAUUGAUAUAGACUUAUAUGGGGCUUUAAUAUAAUCAUAUUGCUUUUGCUCUUUUCAAUAAAUUAUUUAUUGGAAAUGGGAUAAUGGUUAAAUGAUCAGACGUGUAAAUCUCGUUUUAACUCUUUUAUUUUAUAGGCUGGGAAGGCACAACUGCUCUGCUUCGUUUCCUUAAAGGAACUAGCUACAAGACUAAAGGGAUAUAACACCCUGGACCUGAUGUCUCUCAUCAACAAUAGUCCCACUCAUGCACCUCUGUAUACAUUCAGAAAACAAAGCAUACACAUCACCCCCAAACUUCCUAGAAUUAUUUCUCAUAAAAAUGUCUUCCAAUCUCAAGUGGAAACACCAGAAUAAAAGAAAUACUAAUCGUACAAAGACCUAUUUAAUUCAUCUGUAAAUUAAUUUUUGAUAAACAUUCGAAAUGUAAACUCCAAUACUUCUGAAGUGUUAAAACGAGAUAAAUUGACUGAUAUCUGAGUCGAGAUUUUGUGAAAUAUCUCCGAAUCUAUGAGAGAUAUUGGAAUUGUUGUAAUGACAUUUGUUAUAGUACUUAAUUCCCUCCACAAAAAAGGUUAUAAGAAAAAUUUUACUAUCUUCCUUAGAUUCCGGGAUAUUCAUCAAAAACUGGGCCAUGAUCGAAAGUGACUCAAGUAAAAAUGGAGUUAUUUCUCUCGGACCAGAAUCAAAAAAUUGUAAUCCUUCAAAUAAGUAAAUCGGAGAUACGUGAAAAAAGACACGCAUGGCUUGGACGACCUUCACCGACCCUGGAAUCAUCUCACCGAGAGGCUGAUCUCACAUGGAAAUGAAAUUUCACGUUCCCCGAACGGAGGUGGGCCCAAUGGGCGGGGAGAGAGGAGCGUAAGGACGCAGAGAAAAUUAAUAUGGAGAAUUAAUGGAAAUUAUCCAGGCAAAUUAUGAUUUCGAAAAUCAUUUCAUUUUGGGGUGUCUGAACCAGAGAAGAAACAAAAAUGAAUGAAUGAACAAGGGCUUUUUGUCAAAUGGGUCUGGAGUGUGAAAUUCUGGUCACUAAGGGCCAGUUGAUCGGGAGACAUCAUACCAGAAAGAUAUACCUGCCUGCGUGCGAUAAUAAAUAAUUAAAGUUGAUAGUUAAAUGUUUUUAUAUUAUUGAGACA